AGUGAACGCUGGCGGUAGGCCUAACACAUGCAAGUCGAACGGCAGCACAGUAAGAGCUUGCUAUUACGGGUGGCGAGUGGCGGAUGGGUGCGGAAUACCUCCGAAUCUACUUUUUCGUGGGGGAUAACGUAGGGAAACUUACGCUAAUACCGCAUACGACCUACGGGUGAAAGCAGGGGAUCUUCGGACCUUGCGCGAUCGAAUGAGCCGAUGUCGGAUUAGCUAGUUGGCGGGGUAAAGGCCCACCAAGGCGACGAUCCGUAGCUGGUCUGAGAGGAUGAUCAGCCACACUGGAACUGAGACACGGUCCAGACUCCUACGGGAGGCAGCAGUGGGGAAUAUUGGACAAUGGGCGAAAGCCUGAUCCAGCCAUGCCGCGUGGGUGAAGAAGGCCUUCGGAUUGUAAAGCCCUUUUAUUGGGGAAGAAAAGCAGCAGGUUAAUACCCCGCUGUUCUGACGGUACCCAAAGAAUAAGCACCGGCUAACUUCGUG
rnacentral:rRNA from 1 species